rnacentral:rRNA from 1 species
UACGGAGGGUGCAAGCGUUGCUCGGAAUUAUUGGGCGUAAAGGGUAGGUAGGUGGUCUUAUUUGUCUGAGGUGAAAGCCUUGAGCUUAACUCAAGAAGUGCCUCGGAAACGGUGAGACUAGAGUCCUGGAGAGGGUCGUGGAAUUCCCGGUGUAGCGGUGAAAUGCAUAGAGAUCGGGAGGAACACCAGAGGCGAAGGCGGCGACCUGGACAGGUACUGACACUCAACUACGAAAGCGUGGGGAGCAAACAGG